rnacentral:rRNA from 1 species
AGGGCGAACGCUGGCGGCGUGCUUAACACAUGCAAGUCGAGCGGAAAGGCCCUUCGGGGUACUCGAGCGGCGAACGGGUGAGUAACACGUGAGCAACCUGCCCUUAGCUUCGGGAUAGCUCCGGGAAACCGGAAUUAAUACCGAAUAUGACUUUGGCUGACAUCAGCAGAAGUGGAAAGUUUUUCGGCUAGGGAUGGACUCGCGGCCUAUCAGCUAGUUGGUGAGGUAACGGCCCACCAAGGCGACGACGGGUAG